rnacentral:tRNA from 1 species
UUCUUAUAGUUGAAGUAUACAACGGUGGCUUUUCAGGCCGCAAAUCUUGGAGAGAGACCAAG